UGCACUGGAGAGAGGGCUGAGCCUCACAGAGUCAGUGCAGCUUCUCAAUGAGGGGACGGAGCCUAGAGAAGACAGAGCAGUUGUUUCACUGGAGCCUAUCGCUGUACGCGUGUGAGAGGGGAAGUGAGCAGGCAAAUUAACUCCUUGUCCUCACGAGAGCGUUCACCUCCAGAGGAGCAGUAGAAGAGACAGAAGGGAAAGGGGAAAGAGAAGGAGCUGCCGUCUGUGGUUGACAUCAGGUGACAUGAUCAGCCCUCCAUCCUUUCCUACUUUGUGACUGGUCCCUUGGCUGUAAAGGUUUUUUUUUUAUUUUCUUUUUUUGUAUCUGUACACGCAGGGAUUUCAGACGGACUGAUUCAAGGGGGGCCAGGGGAGGGAGUAGUAACAACAGAGAGACAUCUCCCCUUUAUCCUGCCUUUCGGCUAAUUUGUGGACCUGGAACUUUCCCUUGGAAACCCUGUCUCCAGACUAUGGAUGGAUUUAAGACUGACUAGUGAGUCUGUUGGACAAACGCUGAUCUUGACAGGGAUUUGUUUCUUCUGAUCACACCACCCAGAGGUGUCCCUGCCAUGUCCUGGUUGCUGUGUGUGUGGAUUAGCCUGGGCCUCUUGCUGCUGUGCCAGGCUACACUCUACCAGACCAUCCAGCAGCACCACGUGCCCCGGGCUGGGCGUAGCGACAUCCAGUACCUGGAGGGAGGCACAUGUGAGGUCAUCGCUGCCCACCGGUGCUGUAACAAGAACCGCAUUGAAGAGCGCUCCCAGACGGUCAAGUGCUCAUGUCUACCGGGAAAAGUGGCAGGGACAACACGCAACAAACCAUCCUGCGUCGAUGCGUCUAUUGUGAUUGGAAAGUGGUGGUGUGAGAUGGAGCCCUGUCUGGAGGGGGAAGAGUGCAAGACCCUCCCUGAUAACUCUGGAUGGAUGUGCUCUUCUGGAAACAAGAUCAAGACCACAAGGAACACACAGCCAUACUCACCUUUUUAGCUCUGGAAGCAAAAUGCAGAGGAGGCUUCUACAGAAAUCGAGCUGCAUUCUUGCUUCUGUAAAGAUUCAUCCCAGGACCUAACAAAGAGCUCCGCUCGCAGGCUCCCAGCCACGCUCCUCUCCCUCCCAGAAUGGACUAAAACUAUAACAUCAACGGCCACUGACUGGAUUACCUGUGACCGCAAUAAGGAUAUCCACCCAGAUAAAACAGCUUUGCUCGCGUGGUGCCAAGGAUUUGAAACCAGACUAAUCCCCUUUUGAUCAAUGAGCCCCUUGUUGGUGACUCUCCCACACAACAACCACGGCCAAUUUCCUACAUGCUCUGUUCUCUCUUUCCCUCCCUUUCCUGGAUGAUCUAAAAAAGCUUAGAAGGGGUUAUUUAGAGGUUGUAAAAACAUUAUUUGAAGACAUUUCCUCCACCUCCUCCUUCUUCAAGGUAAACUGGUAGAUCCCCGCUGAGGCUCUGAAAACGGAAUCGGACAGGAUCAGAGACACAUCAGGGGGAAAUUACUUUUCGAUUUUCAUUUUGUCAUCGUCUGUGCGGUCGGUGUCAGGUGGGCUUUGGAGUGACUGUACAGCCUGGGACAGUGGUCAGCAGUGACGACACUCCUCCCCCCGACCCCGGGCCUGGCCACACCUCAACAAACACUCUCUGAAAGGUUGAGGGGGACAACGUCUGGAGGCCCCUGACUCAGCUUCUGUGACCAUAUCAGUCUGACCUUUAUUUGUUGGCAUGCUCUACGUAAUUCAUGGGAGCGCUUUCUUUGUACGUAAGAUACUUUGUGUAUAUAUACAUAUAUAAAUACAGAAAAUAUAAAAACACACUGUUGGGGAGCUGAAGUCUCUCGUAUACAGUCUAUGUGGUCUGUAACAAGAUCCCUUUCAUGGAUAUCCUCAUCUUUCUCCAAAAUAAGGAGGACAUUUAAUACCAAGGCUAUGGUGGAUUCUGUGUAUAAGACUGUUUGCAGUGUUUGCUUGCAUUGAGAAUAUCAAAAAGGUCUCUUGGUGUCAUGAUAUAAGUAUUGGUCUUAACUAUCAUGUAUGAUGUAUUUGGAAAAGCAGUUCUUGUAGUUUCUGUGUAAAUGAUGAAAACACUGGCCAGAACUGCCUCACAAAAGAGACUAACAUCCAACACAUGCCUGGUUUUUCUUCUUUGAGAGCUUAAUCAGAAACUACUGUAGCUACAGCUGUUCGACUUGGCCCCUCCCAGGAAAACUCAAGUCUCUCCUCAUUUCUCUGUUUGGUGUCAGCUUGUGAGAAUGGUAGUGAAUUUGACUGUGCCAAUUGUGUGUAAAUUUCACACUCACACAAUGAAAGAUCACCCCAAGGAAAUAUGACUUUGUGAAAGUAUUAGCCUCAUUGGACAGACAUGCAGUACCCCCAGUAGAUAUACAGUACAUACAGCCUUAUCAGAAUUAAAAGGAUUUUCUAUA